rnacentral:rRNA from 1 species
CACAUGCAGUCGAACGAACCCUUCGGGGUUAGUGGCGCACGGGUGCGUAACACGUGGGAAUCUGCCUCUUGGUUCGGAAUAACAGUGAGAAAUUACUGCUAAUACCGGAUGAUGACUUCGGUCCAAAGAUUUAUCGCCAAGAGAUGAGCCCGCGCAGGAUUAGGUAGUUGGUGGGGUAAAGGCCUACCAAGCCGACGAUCCUUAGCUGGUCUGAGAGGAUGAUCAGCCACACUGGGACUGAGACACGGCCCAGACUCCUACGGGAGGCAGCAGUGGGGAAUAUUGGACAAUGGGCGAAAGCCUGAUCCAGCAAUGCCGCGUGAGUGAUGAAGGCCUUAGGGUUGUAAAGCUCUUUUACCAGGGAUGAUAAUGACAGUACCUGGAGAAUAAGCUCCGGCUAACUCCGUGCCAGCAGCCGCGGUAAUACGGAGGGAGCUAGCGUUGUUCGGAAUUACUGGGCGUAAAGCGCGCGUAGGCGGUUACUCAAGUCAGAGGUGAAAGCCCGGAGCUCAACUCCGGAACUGCCUUUGAAACUAGGUGACUAGAAUCUUGGAGAGGUCAGUGGAAUUCCGAGUGUAGAGGUGAAAUUCGUAGAUAUUCGGAAGAACACCAGUGGCGAAGGCGACUGACUGGACAAGUAUUGACGCUGAGGUGCGAAAGUGUGGGGAGCAAACAGGAUUAGAUACCCUGGUAGUCCACACCGUAAACGAUGAUAACUAGCUGUCCGGGUUCUUGGAAUUUGGGUGGCGCAGCUAACGCAUUAAGUUAUCCGCCUGGGGAGUACGGUCGCAAGAUUAAAA